rnacentral:rRNA from 1 species
GCCUCAGUAACGGCGAGUGAAGCGGCAAUAGCUCAAAUUUGAAAUCUGACUCUUUCAGGGUCCGAGUUGUAAUUUGUAGAGGAUGUUUCGGCUUACGCCCCGGUCUAAGUUCCUUGGAACAGGACGUCACAGAGGGUGAGAAUCCCGUUUGUGGCCGGCGGCUUCCGCCAUGUGAAACUCCUUCGACGAGUCGAGUUGUUUGGGAAUGCAGCUCUAAAUGGGAGGUAAAUUUCUUCUAAAGCUAAAUACUGGCCAGAGACCGAUAGCGCACAAGUAGAGUGAUCGAAAGAUGAAAAGCACUUUGGAAAGAGAGUUAAAAAGUACGUGAAAUUGUUGAAAGGGAAGCGCUUGCGACCAGACUUGCCCGCGGAUGCUCAACCGGUCCUUCGGCCGGUGCACUCUUCCGCGGUCAGGCCAGCAUCAGUUCGGACGGUUGGAUAAAGGCCUUGGGAAUGUGGCUCUCUUCGGGGAGUGUUAUAGCCCUUGGUGCAAUACAGCCUGCCUGGACUGAGGCCCGCGCUUCGGCUAGGAUGCUGGCGUAAUGGUCGUAAGCGGCCCGUCUUGAAA